rnacentral:rRNA from 1 species
AACGAACGCUGGCGGCAGGCCUAACACAUGCAAGUCGAGCGCCCAGCAAUGGGAGCGGCAGACGGGUGAGUAACGCGUGGGAACCUUCCCAAUGGUACGGAAUAGCUCAGGGAAACUUGAGGUAAUACCGCAUAAGCCCGAAAGGGGAAAGAUUUAUCGCCGAGGGAUCGGCCCGCGUCUGAUUAGCUAGUUGGUGAGGUAACGGCCCACCAAGGCGACGAUCAGUAGCUGGUCUGAGAGGAUGACCAGCCACACUGGGACUGAGACACGGCCCAGACUCCUACGGGAGGCAGCAGUGGGGAAUCUUGGACAAUGGGCGCAAGCCUGAUCCAGCCAUGCCGCGUGAGUGAUGGAGGCCUUAGGGUUGUAAAGCUCUUUCGACGGGGACGAUAAUGACGGUACCCGUAGAAGAAGCCCCGGCUAACUUCGUGCCAGCCGCCGCGGUAAC